UUUUGGAGAGUUUGAUUCUGGCUCAGAACGAACGCUGGCAGCGUGGAUUAGGCAUGCAAGUCGAACGGGAAUCCCGGGUGUAGCAAUACAUCCGGGAGGAUAGUGGCGUAAGGGCGAGUAACGCGUGGGUAAUUUGCCUCUAAGAUGGGGAUAACCUGCCGAAAGGUGGGCUAAUACCGAAUGUGGUCUCUUGGCGCAUGUCGAGAUGACUGAAGGUGGGGACCGAAAGGCCUGCCGCUUGGAGAGAAACCCGCGUCCCAUCAGCUAGUUGGUGAGGUAACGGCCCACCAAGGCUUACGGGUAGCUGGUCUGAGAGGAUGGUCAGCCGCACUGGG
rnacentral:rRNA from 1 species